AGAGUUUGAUCCUGGCUCAGAACGAACGCUGGCGGCAGGCUUAACACAUGCAAGUCGAACGCGUGUAGCAAUACACGAGUGGCGCACGGGUGAGUAACGCGUGGAUAUCUGCCUUUUGGUUCGGAAUAACCCCGGGAAACUGGGGCUAAUACCGGAUGGUUCCUACGGGAUAAAGAUUUAUCGCCUAAAGAUGAGUCCGCGUACGAUUAGCUAGUUGGUGAGGUAAUGGCUCACCAAGGCGACGAUCGUUAGCUGGUCUGAGAGGACGAUCAGCCACACUGGGACUGAGACACGGCCCAGACUCCUACGGGAGGCAGCAGUGGGGAAUAUUGGACAAUGGGGGCAACCCUGAUCCAGCCAUGCCGCGUGAGUGAUGAAGGCCUUCGGGUUGUAAAGCUCUUUUGGCGGGGACGAUGAUGACGGUACCCGCAGAAUAAGCCCCGGCUAACUUCGUGCCAGCAGCCGCGGUAAGACGAAGGGGGCUAGCGUUGUUCGGAAUUACUGGGCGUAAAGCGUGUGUAGGUGGUUGCCAUAGUCAGGUGUGAAAGCCUUGAGCUCAACUCAAGAAAUGCACUUGAUACUGGGCGACUAGAGGACCGGAGAGGAUAGUGGAAUUCCCAGUGUAGUGGUGAAAUACGUAGAGAUUGGGAAGAACACCAGUGGCGAAGGCGGCUAUCUGGACGGUUUCUGACACUAAGACACGAAAGCGUGGGGAGCAAACAGGAUUAGAUACCCUAGUAGUCC
rnacentral:rRNA from 1 species